GACCUUGACAAAUUUCAUUUCAUCUUCUAUGCUUUUUUUCCGCUCAUCUUAUAGGUCGAAGGAGCUCCCUUCAGUUCAAUGGAUUCAACAAAAUAGCUGCCACUACAUCCUGAGUUCAAGGGAUUCCUUAGGGGCCUUCUACACCGUCUUGCUAAUGUUGCCAUUGCUUGACGCCACAACCAUGCUCGUCGUUCUUGUGCUGCCAUUCACAUACUGCUCCCUGCUUUACUCCACUGAGAUCCAUAGGAAUAAGUUAUAUUCAGUUCGCCACUUUUACAAUUGAUGGUCCUAUGUUAACAAAAACAAUAGUUCAAGCUCCUAAAAAAGCAAUUAUAUGUAUGCUGCAUCACUUUGGGGAACUACAGCAAACAAAAUGAGGAGAGCUUGGUAGUACUUGAUUUUUUAUAGUACUACUUGAACCCUUUCUGUUGAAUAUAUUGGAUCCUAUUUAUUGCAACCUCGUAGAUUGUUGGAUGCAUGUGGUCCUUCUCUUGUGCAUAUUCAGUUUUAAUAAAUGGUGAACUGAAUGGAAAAAAUCAUGCCAUCUAUAGUGAAAGUUCAGCAAAAAAGGAGAGCUCAUUUACGGGUAAAAAUUCAUGUACAUCUAUAGGGAAAGUUCAACUAAAAAUAGAGUUCAUUUACAGGUAAUAAAAAAUUGAUGUACAUAUAAUUGGAUCUGUGUGCAAGAAAGGACAAUGGGUUUGAAUUCACACAAAUAAACCAAUUGAUGAACCUCACAAGUUCGGAUAUGAUGACACAUUCAGUGAUCAACCCCUAAACAUUUCGGACAGUGAAAAAUACCUCAGCACAAACGCAAACAUAUAUCAGUACGAGUACUCUAUUUUUUAGACAGGACAAAACAACACAAUGGGUUUCACCUUAUUCAAAAUUACUCUAAAACGGUUGCGAAGUACAGAAAAUGUUCAACAUGAGUAAGUUUCGCAUUUUUGAUAGCUAUCCAACGGUAUAUUAUUUGCCUCAUUUCGACAAACUUAAAAAAAUCGUGUUCGAAAUCGAAUUUAUCCGUAUUCAAAUUCGUAUUAAAACCAUAAGGAAUUAGAAAAAAACUUUCUAUACGAAACAGUUGCGCAUUUUCCAUAGCUUUCCAACGAUCUAUCAGUUGCGUCAAUCCGACAAACUAUUUGCAAAAAACACAAAAAUACAUUUUUUUUCCAAAUUACUUUGAAAUCGUAUAGAAUUUGAAAAAACAUUAGAUACAUGGAAGAAGCGGAUUUUCACCACUUUACAACGCCAUCUUAUUUGCUCAAUUUCGACAAACCAUUUGAAAAUUAAGUCCAAAAUACGAUUCGCGUUUUUGGUUUGGAAAAAAUGUUUUUUCAGAACUGCUCUUACACCAUAAUAUUUUUGCAAAAAUAAAUUAUAUGAUUGUAAUGUAGAUGUCAAGAGCUUUCCAACAAUAUAUUACACGCCCCGUUUCGACAAAAAAAACUGCAAAAAAAUUGAACUAAAGAAGACGAUUGUCAAAGGAAAAUAAAAGUAUCACUUCAACCGCUCGAAUUCAUCAGUUCAACCGCUCAAAUUCAUCAGUUCAAAUGCUCAAAUUCAUCAGUUCAAGUAGGGUAAUGGAAUAAUAUUCUGUUACGCGAAAUAGAAUAGCCCAGAUGUAUAUAUAGGACCGUACUAUUCUAAUCCCAGGAUUAGAAUAACUAUUUGGAUCACGGAGCCAUAUAUAGGAGCAGCGGAGGUGUUCCCGAACUCACAAAAAAAAGAAAUCCCACCCGAACCCCACGUUCCCCACCUCUCCCUCGCUCUCUCCCUGAUCCCCACCGCCGCCAUCCCCGCUGCCGCGCGCCUCCUCCCUCACAGCUCCUCCCCCACGGCCAGCGGGCCUCCUCCCCACGGCCGGCGUGCCUCCCUCCUCCACCCUCGGCCGACGUGGCUCCUCUCAAGCAGUCGGGCCAAAGGCAAGGGAGUUGCUGCCGCCGCCGCCCUCGCCGGCGUCGUCGUCCUAUGAGGCAUGGGACCUCUCCGACAACAAGGUGGCGCCGACCGCGUCUUGGGCCACCCUGCCCAACAGGCGCUGCUGUACCGCCCGCUGCCGCUCAACGUCGGGAGGUGCACCAGCAUCAUCAUCAGGGAGAAGGCCACCGGGGCCAGAGGCGACGCGCUCUACUCGCUCUACACCAACAUGAGCUAAUCGCCGUCCCCCCUUAGCUUUCUGGGCUUCAAAUUUUCCAAAUCCGGGGGAGAGUAGUGUGAUUAGUUGCUGAAAUUUGUGUCAUAAGGAUUCGUGCAUGCCCGUCUCUCUGUUGUGCGAUUGUAGGAGGGGCCCGACACCGGAGGAGGAGAGGGAGGUCGGAGUCCAUCGUGGCGCAAAACCAGGACGGCGUCUUCUGUAGCUUCGACAAGAACUUCCUCAGAACUAUGGGUGCCAAUCUUGUUGGAUCCAAGUACCCGAUUUGGGGCCAGGUACAUGACGUUCCCCUUCAUGAUUCUCGAUGUCGCUCGCCUGGAUUCCAGACUGAUUUACCAUGGUAGACAUGAACCAAUGAUGAGUAUUAAUGGUCGGUAAGGGAGUCCUGGACUAAGGGGUCCUCGGGCGUCCGGCCUGUUGGCCAUGGGCCGGACUGAUGGGCUUUGAAGAUACGAAGACUGAAGACUGCACCCGUGUCCGGAUAGGACUCUCAUUGGCAUGGAAGGUAAGCUUGGCGACUGGAUAUGUGGAUUCCUUUCUUUGUAACCGACCUUAUGUAACCCUAGAUCCUCCCAGUGUCUAUAUAAACCGGAGGACUUAGUCCGGAUAGGGGACUCAUUAUCAUAGUUAUACAAGCUAGGACUCUAGGGUUUAGCCAUUACGAUCUCAAGGUAGAUCAAAUCUUGCAAUACUCAUAUUCAUCAAUAUCAAUCAAGCAGGACGUAGGGUAUUACCUCCAUAGAGAGGGCCCGAACCUAGGUAAAACACCGUGUCCCUUCUCUCCUAUUACUAUCGACCUUACACGCACAGUUCGGGACCCCCUACCCGAGAUCCACCGUUUUUGACACCGACAUUGGUGCUUUCAUUGAGAGUUCCUCUGUGCUGUCGCUAAAGGUUCUAAUGGCCCCUUCAAUCGUCAAUAAUGACACCGUCCAAGGAGAAACUUUUCUCCUCGGACAGAUCUUCGUGUUCGGCGGCUUCGCAUUGCGGGCCAAUUCGCUUGGCCAUCUGGAGCAGAUCGAAAGCUACGCCCUUGGCCAUCAAGUCAGAUUUGGGAGCUUGAACUACGUUGCGGACAUCUGUGGAGACUUGAUAUUCGCCGGAUUCGAGACCGCGGUAGCCGCUCUCGGUCAUCCCGAUGAUCAUGACCUAAAUCUGUCAUCAGACCGCUUCCAGGAGAUCGCUCCUAUAACCAUUCUGGCCUUAGAACUGGAGCAGAAUGCGUCGUCCGAGGACGGGACUGACUGGGAGUGAUCCCCGAACCAUUUCAUUAAAGGCCAUGGUUUCCCACAAUGCUAAUGCUACUAGAAAGGAGCUAGAGGCCAUGAAGCCUCUUGGCUUCUCCAAUUAGCAUGUUUGGCCAGUCCUGAAGCGCUUCCUCAAGCUCUUCAACAAUAACUGGGCUCCCAUCGAGGACGAGUGCUACCGCAUCCUUAUUGACACCAUAUUGGGUGGCAAAAGUAAUGAACCAAUACCUACCACUACACGUCAUGUAAGAAAUGCUACUUCCGUUUAUUUGGUAGCCUUCCUUAAUUAUCACUUGAUGCUCAGCCUUUCCAAUUGCACUUUUCACAUCAGGUGACGUGCGAAAAAGAGUCCAAGGCUCACAACCCAACACGUGGUCAGACCAGAUGACCAACACCUCUCCUGCUCAGUAUGACAAGGAUGUCAGUGAUAAUGAAAACCUCCCUCACAGCAGAGCGGCGGAGUGCAUACUUGCCAUCUACAUUUCGGAGCCCCAUCAGUUCAGUGUGAUCUCUCCCGGUAAGUUCGUGUAUUGCUAUCUCCAGUGUUCAGAAAGUGUAGAAUGGAUGAUUUAUCUCACCUAUGCAGCUCACAAAUCAUAUGCUUUGUACAAAAAAAGAAACAAAACACUAUGUGUAGGAUUUCAUGAUGUAAUUUAUCAUCAGUUCGUAAAGUAAGCACAAAUACAGUUUCAUGUGUGUUACAGAAAAAACAAUUUGGUUUGUAUAUUAUAUAGUAGUUCACUACGCAUGUGUUGAGGUACAAAUCUUGAUCUGUUGGAGGUUCAAUGCGUCACUCCUGGAAGGGACAUUCUCUCAUUAGUAUAAUGCAAUUUGUUAUUAAAAAUAAUAGUGAUUCAGUAUGUAUUAUACGAGAAAUUCAUAAAAAAAGAAGCAAAAAGCAGUGAUUCAAUAUGUAUUAUACGCCCAUUUUUUUAAUUCAGCACAAGGCUUCCAAACCAUGGUUCAGUUUCAGCACAAAAUCUCGGUUCAACAAAACCCAUGCCGGCUUGGAUAUAUUUUUGUAAUCCAACAGAUGUGAAUGCUAGUCUUCUUACCGACUUACCAAUUAAUAAGUUAUUGGACUGACCAAAACUUUCUGUAGUACUAGUUGACAUCUACUAUUCAUGAUCAAAUUUGAGCUAUAAGUUCCAUUUUUCUUCCUUCCCGGUUUGAUACAUAUUUAGGAAUUACCUUUGUUAACUUUGGCAUCCCCCGACGCCUCGCGCCCCCGAAGAGGCCACACGCUGGAUCUAGUAGGGCAACACUGUUGACACCGACGCCGUAGUCCUCCGGUGUCACCCUUCCCGUCCCUGUCCAAAUAUAGGACUGACACCAGUCCAUCUCUUCCUCGCUUCUCCGUCCAAGCUCCUCGUGCCAUGCUUGAUGGUCAUUUCAUCAUUAUAAAACAUAAUUUUCUUUCGGUUCUGAACAUGGACAGUUCUAGGAACAUUGUUGUGCAAACCAAAAGUGUGCGAUGGAUGUUCUCUUCCCAAUUUUUGUGUUUUGGAGUAAAUCAACAUAGAUUGUGGACAAAGUAGGCUCUAAAUUUUUGCACUGGAUUUAGAGAUAUGAACAAUGAUUGAUUUUGAUCAGUACUUGGUUGUGUGAUAUUUUUGAAACUAGGACGACCUCGUCCUUCGUCUGCUUCUCAUUUCCAGCCACAUCCAGGACGACCUAGAUUUGCUGCCACUAGCUGUUGGUGCACCUCAUGUUAGCUCCUAGCUGUUACCUAGUGUGCUUGAUGCUACCGCUACAAAGAAGGUAAUAAAAGAAUAUUCGCUGCUUCUAUUGUCUUGCAAGUUAAGGAAGGGUCUGAUGUUGUGCGGGCAUGCAUGGUGUGUGCUCUGUGUGUGUUAUUUGUGCGAGAUGUGAGCUCUGUGAUGCUCUAAAUAGGAGAAUUUGUGUUUAUUGAGAUACCAUAGAUGGGUGCCAUUAGUCUCCCAUUUUUAUUUGGGCUUAUCAAAGUACACCAGGGAGAGCUAUUAUGUACGGAAGUUCAUGUAUUGAUGCCCCCCGGAGUCCAUGUAGCUCUCCUGUCGUGCUGCCCUCAUCGGCCUCGGCUAUGGACGUCAGUCCAAUCCCGUCGCCCCAGGCCGUUCACUGUCGCAGUGACCAGGGCGUUCAUAGAAAAUGUUGAUUAUAUUGAUAAUUAAAACUAGUCUUUGCUCACUUUUGAAUUGAAAAAGAAAAGGAGUCUCUGUAAUAAUAAGUUCAUAGAAAAAACAUAAACAAAAUAAACAAAAAACAUGAAACACAAAAAAUCCAUGAAAUAUACCGGGAAAACAUAGUAAGUUCUAAGUAAAUAAAUAUAGAAGUUCAUAUUUUGAAACGAAUGAAGUAUUUGGGAACUAAAAUGAAGUAUUUCAAAGUACAGAACUCCUGUUUAGGUUUCUUUGUGUACUUCUAAUGUUACUAUGCAUGAUCUUGUCGUUAUUUUUACAUGUUUUACAUGAUUAUGGUUAUUUCGACCUUGACAAAUUUCAUUUCAUCUUGUAUCCUUUUUUUCCGCUCAUCUUAUAGGUCAAAGGAGCUCCCUUCAGUUCAAUGGAUUCAAGAAAAUAAUCGCUGCCACUACAUCCUGAGUUCAAGGGAUUCCUUAGGGGCCUUCUACACCGUCUUGCUAAUGUUGCCAUUGCUGGACGCCACAACCAUGCUCGUCGUUCUUAUGCUGCCAUUCACAUACUGCUCCCUGCUUCACUCCACUGAGAUCCAUAGGAAUAAGUUAUAUUCAGUUCGCCACUUUUACAAUUGAUGCUCCUAUGUUAACAAAAACAAUAGUUCAAGCUCCUAAAAAAGCAAUUAUAUGUAUGCUGCAUCACUUUGGGGAACUACAGCAAACAAAAUGAGGAGAGCUUGGUAGUACUUGAUUUUUUAUAGUACUACUUGAACCCUUUCUGUUGAAUAUAUUGGAUCCUAUUUAUUGCAACCUCGUAG
rnacentral:lncRNA from 1 species